UGUUUACUGUAAAGGGUCUGAUUUUUAAAAUGUUAAAAUAUUUUACCUUUUGUUUCAGGGUAAUUUAAUUUUAAAGAAGUGUAACCUCGAGAACUGUUGUUAAUAAAUUAUUUUAUUAUUCUGUACCAAAAGAUAGUUAUUUAUUUUAAGAGGUGAGAGUCUUCCGAUUCAGUUAAUAUCUAGUUACAAAAACAAAAAAAACAGAGGAGCUGUUUUUGAGUUAUAGGCUUUUUACUAAAACCAAACUUAGGCUUUAAAGUGGCCAUAUUGAUAAGGUGUUUUUACCAAUAUUAAAAUAAACCACUAGAUUAUAAAUGUUGAGUUAAAUAAUUAACUAAGAUUAAUGGGUUGAUAAGUAGUGUUUUAAGUUGAGAAAUAAGGAACUAGGAACCUCAAGGAGUGUUUAACAAAAACAUUUCUCUAACAUUUUAGAGUAAAGCCUGCCCAGUGCUUUAGUAAACGGCUGCGGUAUACUAACUGUGCUAAGGUAGCAUAAUAAUUUGUGUUUUAAAUGGGCACUUGUAUAAACGGCCAAACAUUGUUAAUUUUUCUUUUUCUUAAAAAAUGAAUUUAGAGUAAAAGUAAAAAUACUUUUAUAAUCUAAAGAGACGAUAAGACCCUAAAAGCUUUAUUUAUUAGCCCAUAGUUUUGUAUCACAAAAGGCUUUUUAGUUUUAACUGGGGUAGUUAUGGUUUUUUAAGUUAAGCAAUGGCUUUGAAAAGGUAGAAUGACCCUUUUUAUAAAGGUUUUUGUUUAAGUUACUUUAGGGAUAACAGCGUUAUAAAAUUAAAGAGGCCUUAUCUCCAAUUUUGAUUGCGACCUCGAUGUUGAAUUAACAAAUCCGCGCGAGGCAGUUCUCCCGAAGGAGGGUUUGUUCAACCCUUAAUUUGUUACAUGAUUUGAGUUCAAACCGGUUUAAGCCAGGUUGGUUUCUAUCUUUUAGUAAAAAGUUUUUAUUUUAGUACGAAAGGACCAAGUAAAAUUUUU
rnacentral:rRNA from 1 species